rnacentral:misc_RNA from 1 species
AUGCGGACGUUGAUGCUCAUUAUACUCUCAAUUUUAAUAUAUUUAUCGUCUGCAAAACCAGUUUUCGGUCCGAUCGGAGUCGUUGAAAAGCACAAAAUCGCCAAAAUGCUGCAGAACGAACAACGCAGCUGACUCGAAUGAAUUUUCAGCGAAACGAGAAGAAUUCGAGCGAUGCGUGAUAGAAGCACUCUUGUGUCCCCCCGGAAAAUCAUUGCAAAUGCUUGAAGAGGAACAAGCUCUUUUGGAAAAAGUCGUGGAAACUUUAAGUAACGAUAUUGAAGAGAAGGAGGAAAAGAUUGAGAAGUUGAGAAGAUCAUAUACAAAUGGAAAUGGUGCAUUAGCAAACAUUUAUGAAGACUAUCGUAGUGGUUUCAAGAGUGGAAUCGGUGCUCGUCCAGGCCGAUGA